rnacentral:rRNA from 1 species
UACAGAGGGGGCAAGCGUUGUUCGGAAUUACUGGGCGUAAAGCGCGCGUAGGCGGCUUUGCAAGUUAGAGGUGAAAGCCCGGAGCUCAACUUCGGAAUUGCCUUUAAAACUGCAUCGCUUGAAUCCGGGAGAGGUGAGUGGAAUUCCGAGUGUAGAGGUGAAAUUCGUAGAUAUUCGGAAGAACACCAGUGGCGAAGGCGGCUCACUGGACCGGCAUUGACGCUGAGGUGCGAAAGCGUGGGGAGCAAACAGG